CUGGCGGCGUGCUUAACACAUGCAAGUCGAGCGAUGAAGCUCCUUCGGGAGUGGAUUAGCGGCGGACGGGUGAGUAACACGUGGGUAACCUGCCUCAUAGAGGGGAAUAGCCUUUCGAAAGGAAGAUUAAUACCGCAUAAGAUUGUAGUACCGCAUGGUACAGCAAUUAAAGGAGUAAUCCGCUAUGAGAUGGACCCGCGUCGCAUUAGCUAGUUGGUGAGGUAACGGCUCACCAAGGCGACGAUGCGUAGCCGACCUGAGAGGGUGAUCGGCCACAUUGGGACUGAGACACGGCCCAGACUCCUACGGGAGGCAGCAGUGGGGAAUAUUGCACAAUGGGGGAAACCCUGAUGCAGCAACGCCGCGUGAGUGAUGACGGUCUUCGGAUUGUAAAACUCUGUCUUUAGGGACGAUAAUGACGGUACCUAAGGAGGAAGCCACGGCUAACUACGUGCCAGCCGCCGC
rnacentral:rRNA from 1 species